CCUACGGGAGGCAGCAGUGAGGAAUAUUGGUCCAUGGGCGCAAGCCUGAACCAGCCAAGUCGCGUGCAGGAUGACUGCCCUACGGGUUGUAAACUUCUUUUAUAAGGGAAUAAAGUGAGGCACGUGUGCCUUUUUGUAUGUACUUUAUGAAUAAGGAUCGGCUAACUCCGUGCCAGCAGCCGCGGUAAUACGGAGGAUCCGAGCGUUAUCCGGAUUUAUUGGGUUUAAAGGGUGCGUAGAUGGGUUGUUAAGUCAGUUGUGAAAGUGUGCGGCUCAACCGUAAAAUUGCAAUUGAUACUGGCAGUCGUGAGAACAGUUGAGGUAGGCGGAAUUCGUGGUGUAGCGGUGAAAUGCUUAGAGAUCACGAAGAACUCCGAUUGCGAAGGCAGCUUACUAAACUGCCACUGACAUUGAGGCUCGAAAGCGUGGGGAUCAAACAGGAUUAGAUACCCCUGUAGUC
rnacentral:rRNA from 1 species